rnacentral:snoRNA from 1 species
CUGCAGCCAAUUAAACUGACUGUGCUCUUCGUCUAUGGGGGCCCAGUGUGCCAUGGCUGCGAACAGUAGCCUCCUCUGUAGUGUAUGCAGCCUGUUGAUCAUAUGGGUUUCCCUAAGGGACCUUGAAGACAGCC